ACAAGGUUUUGGUCAGGUCAUGGCUGUAGUAGAAGUCACUUCCUUCAGAUUGCCAUGUUCGUAUCUAGCUCUUUCGCAAUUUGUUCAGCCGUUGCAAAUGCAUUCAAGUAGCAAAACUUUCUAGAGAAGUUAUGGAAAAGGAAAAAAUGUGAUCCGAAAAUGUCGAUAUGGCUUUCCUAAGGCUGAAGAUUCAAUUCCUUCCCCGUUGCUGAAAGUAUCAAAUUAAGAAGAAAUGGGAAAGAUGUUAAAAGGCUUCAUCAACUUCAAAGAAAAUCAUCCAGAGAAAAAUUAUCAGUGAUUAAUAUGGCAGGCAAAUGUUGGCUGUCAUUAUAUUGGAGAAAAUAGUAUGACGUUAACCAGAAAUGUGAUUAGCUGCCAAACAAAAGCCGAGAGAAAUGAAGCUGAAGAUAUCGAUUGCAGAAGUUCAAGCCGGGCAUCAACCACACCGACCUAGUCAACCUGACAGAUCCUGCAGCGGUUCCGAACAUUGUCUUUCUCUCUAUGACUAAAAAAAAAGAUUUUUUUAAAUAAUUUAUUCUUUAUAUAUUUGAAUAUUUGCGCCUAUGUGCUAAAUAAUUUACGUUUCUUUUGCGCUUUUGAUGCAUAAAACAUACUUCUUGAUUGAA
rnacentral:lncRNA from 1 species